UUGGCUCGCUUGUCAUCAUUUCCAUUAUUUUAGCAAACACUAGAGCCAGCUGAACGGACCGUAAUUACUGGGCGAAAACACAACUUUUCUUUGAAAAUGACGCGGCAUCAAAGAAACUGUACUGCUGGGACUGUUUACACUUAUCAUGAGCGGCAGAAAGAUGCAGUGACUCAGAGGUAUUAACGAUGUCUAGGAGGGCAGCACUGUCUUCACGGGAUCUUAAUGCGGCAACAUCCCAUGAACAUCCCAUGAGCAAGCUGCCAGUGCCCUCCAAGCCUCGCCAGGUGAAACUGAAAGUCAAGCCGUGGACGAGGGUAACGACAAAGGUGCAGUGACUGCGGCUGCGAAGCCUGGAAAACCGAUCGUUGCUCGCAACCCAGCACCUGCUAGAAGCACAGCAAGGCCUAGGCCUACUAACACCUCAACAGCUAAGCCUGGCGUGACCAGCGCUUCUGACGGCCCCAAAAAGAUGGACGCAUCUACCACCAUACUGCGCCUGCAGCAGGAGAAGCGAGACCUGCUGCAGACAAACAUCGACCUGCAGAGCCAGCUAAGUGACUCCAGGGACGAAGUGGCCAAGGCCAAGGUGCGGUAAAUGCAAUGAACAGAGUACUUGGUGACAGAUGGAAUGUUUCUUGUGGAAUGGAACAGUCCGUCUGUCACCUCCAGUGCAUUCAAUUACUUCUCCUGCACUUACUCAUGCAAGCGCGACAGCGUUAGAUUUACCUCUCACAUGACUUGUCGCGCUUAAUCAAGCCUGGCCCAAGUAACCGACUUGCCGAGCCGGUUACUUAGGUAAAUAUCCCAUAAGGCCAUGCAACGUCCUGCGGGCGCCUCAUCAGGCCGUGUCCAAAAACGGGCUUGCACGGAGCAUAGAGCUACAAACACUAUAUAGCUCUAUGUGUCCCCGCGUAUUUUCACUGGGCAUGGACGUGCUCUACAGUUAAUUGAUUCGAAUGUAGCGUGGGAAAACUGUUGCAACCUGACGCCACUUCUGCAAUUGUGUAAAAAGUCUAUGGAGAG